rnacentral:rRNA from 2 species
GCCCUGCACUCUGGGACAAGCCCUGGAAACGGGGUCUAAUACCGGAUACUGAUCCUCGCAGGCAUCUGCGAGGUUCGAAAGCUCCGGCGGUGCAGGAUGAGCCCGCGGCCUAUCAGCUAGUUGGUGAGGUAACGGCUCACCAAGGCGACGACGGGUAGCCGGCCUGAGAGGGCGACCGGCCACACUGGGACUGAGACACGGCCCAGACUCCUACGGGAGGCAGCAGUGGGGAAUAUUGCACAAUGGGCGAAAGCCUGAUGCAGCGACGCCGCGUGAGGGAUGACGGCCUUCGGGUUGUAAACCUCUUUCAGCAGGGAAGAAGCGAAAGUGACGGUACCUGCAGAAGAAGCGCCGGCUAACUACGUGCCAGCAGCCGCGGUAAUACGUAGGGCGCAAGCGUUGUCCGGAAUUAUUGGGCGUAAAGAGCUCGUAGGCGGCUUGUCACGUCGG